rnacentral:lncRNA from 1 species
UAGAACUAGAUAUACAGCAAAGUUUUCAAUUGGUAUAAUUCCAUGCAAUUUCUAAAUAUUAUCAAGAAAACAGAAGUUGAUAAAAAAAACUCCAUAUAUCCCAGAAAAAAAUGCACUGUGAAGUCCUGCUGACGUAAAUAAUGAAAGGUAGCAGUCAGUUAAAAGAGGUGAACUGCACUGUAAUCCUAUUGUCUCCUCCUUAAGCAAUUUGUCACAUCUAGGCAACUGACAGUGUGCACUCCACACACGUGAUGAUGACAAAUUAACAAGGAACUGUCAAUAUGUGCAGGAGACCACGUUUUUCUCAAGAGAUGUUGAACUCAUUGAUUUUUCUCCUCUCUCCCGCCACACAUUCAAUAACAAGAGCUAAAACUCAAGCUCACUAAAUGAGAAAAGACCAGUUUCUGUUCACAAUCAAGCCUGAUUCCCCAUCCAAAUGUCUUGAGGGAAUGAAGGCAUGAUUUGAUCUUCCUGCUGUUGCUGCCUCAGUGCCUGCUUGUUGCCUGCAGUAAACACAACCCGUCCAAUCAAUCCCCAGGUAGAAGGCAGCUCCCUACCACUCUGAUCUCUCUCUACCAGAAUACCUGGCUCUUAUGCUUGAUUGCAACACAGGCAGGGCUGUCCUAUACUAGCUGUCUAUCCCCUCACCUGGCCUUGCUGAUCAGACCGAAUUAGAAAACUAGCCACUCAAGUCUCAUGUGGUGUGUGUAGUGAAGUAAUGGGGAAAUCAUCCCCUUGUCAAACAUUCCAUCUUUUUGGAUAAAGCAUACUGCCCAUCUGGCCUCAGCAGCUAUGCAUGAUACAUGCAGCAGGAGGGCUGCCAAACAGCUCAAGGUAGUUGUUUGUUACAGUGGUUUUUAAAAAUAUAUGUUUAUCAUACGAGGCCAGGUCAGUUAUUGUAAACCCGAGUUGUGUUCUUCCUCUCUACGCAGCAAUACUUUACAUCAAGUACUUUUUAUUUUCCCUCCUCCUCUUUUAUUACUGUUGGACAUGGUAGUAUUCCCUGGAACACCUCCAGGUCUGCACUCUCCACAGCUUCCUUCUACCAGGGCAUACCUCCACUACUUGUACACAGGACAAGAUACCUGUGCUUCGCACUACCAAGAAUGACCUUUUUCUGAUUAUGGAUUCUCUGAAUGCCUCCACGAGCCACUUUCCUUUGCAAAUGACACUCAAAUAAUCUGAGGAAUCUAGAUUCGGUUUUUCCCCUGGAAAUUUAUGAUAUACAUGAUACUUAUGAAGAAUCUGGAAGGCUAGCAAUUGCUCUAUGAACACCAUACACUCUUCUGCUUUUCUCAAAAUGAUGUAAGAAACGUCAUUCAGCCUGUUUUUUAUAGUUUAUUUUUAAAUCUUAAUGAUAUUCACUUCAAUUUUUCUUCUCAAACCUGAUGACUCAGUCUUGAUGAAAAGACACCAGCUGCACAAGGUUUGCAAGGGACUUCCUUCCCCUGUUGUUGCAUUCAGGACUUACACAAAAGACCAAUACCGCAAACAGUUCUCUCUUUCUCUCUACUCCACUGCCUUUUUAACAGCACUAGGGCUGUCACAGCACACUCUCAGCCAUAAAAUAUAUAAACCCCAACUCUUCAGUCUGAUCAACUUUGAUAAAGACCAAAGCAAGUAAAUCAGUAAUCAAAAGUUGAUGAAUAGCUUAAGCAUUUGGCGAGCAAACUGCAAUAAAUGUAUUUUUGGUUGUGUAAGCUUGAUAAAUGUCUCUGUGAGGUCCUGGUGCAUAAAUAAUUCAUCAGGGGAUGCCAAAUUGGCCUGUGGUUGUGUGAAUCACACUUUUUAUACCCCCUGUUAAUCAAGUAAAUGAAGCAAAACAAGAACACAAUAUUAGUCAGGACUUGGUAACAUUUUUUUCCCUCAGAACAAAAUUAAAUGUCUCUGGAGCAGGUGCUUUGUACUAGGUCAAGAUUGUUUUGUUUCAAAUGAACAAAAUGGAAUCAUCCCCUACUUGGUCUUCAUUGAAAAAAAAUUAUUUCCGCUGGUCAAGUUACCUCUAGGCUGGUUCCAAUAUUGGAAUUAUUUGCACUGAAAGUGAGAGUUCAAUACAGUUGUUUUUGGCUCUUGGACUCGUCUUUCUCUCAGCACAAUCAAACUAGUAUUUUCACUGGUGUUAAAUUGUCCAUUCAAGAAGUUUACGCACAGACACAACUCUUUGUGCAUGCAGUAUUUUUUUUUUCAAUUUAUCGCUUGUUUGAAGCUGAGAAGUGACAAUGAAAAUAACACCUAGAGGUUAACUUCCAACUGCCUUCUGUUUCCUUUGUCCCACUUCAACUUCUAAAUGUGAACAUCUCCUUCAUUUGUAAAGAAACAUUUGAUUUUUUUAAAGUAAACGGCAAAAUCAAGAACUAAACAUUUUUCUUCAAAUCCAGGCAAGUGCCCUCUCCAGGUAUUCUCAUGAAAUCAAGACUGUAGCAUUUAGAUUUCUCAAUGGUCCUGUCUACUUACACAAUCAAUUUGAAACAACAUAACUUGUGCAACCUGAGGUAAUUACACCAUCUUCCAGCUACCUUAGCUACAGAAUUCCCAACUUCCCUUCUUAUCGUGGAGAUACAGCAACUCGAUAUAUAAAUAUUGACACAAAAGCUUCAACAGUGUCUGACUGCUGCCUGUGUAUAUAUACAGUGCUAUGGCUGUCAAUUUUACCAGGUGAGAAUUUUAGCACAUGGGAGUUACAUUUUUGUUCGUCAUAAAAGAAGAACAGUGCCAAUAACAAUGACCUGUUAAAAGCCCAGUCAAGAACUACACUAUAGAUUUUCCAGAACCAAAUGAAAAGGAUCCAUACAACUAUGUGGGCAUCAUAGGUUGAGGCUGUAAUUCCACACAGCACUGUUGUCAUGGGGUUAAAGAAAGAUGAGGCAUGACAAAGGACUCAGCACGAGCUCCAUUAUUGUAGCCUACUUGGUGCAAACCCAUUAGUUUCACUUCAGAUUUUUUGUUCACCACACCAACCUGGACCAGUCGGACUUCACAACAAAAUCAUCUAAAACUAGAGAUGUAGUUAAAAGCAUAUUCCUGUUGUGUCACUGAAAGAGGUGAUUUAUUUUGUAGAAAUUGUUUUCUUUCAACCAACUGUAAGAAUAUUAAUUAUUCUGACCUUAAUUGGCUAAAAACUAAGAAGGAAAUUUACCACUCAAGUAAAAAGUCUGUCAUAUUAACUAGGUGCACAAAAUUCUAUUUAGACUCAAAUGGAUUUGACAAUAAAAUAUAUGUGUAAAAAAGAAAAA